rnacentral:rRNA from 1 species
AUUGAACGCUGGCGGCAGGCCUAACACAUACAAGUCGAGCGGAUGAAGGGAGCUUGCUCCUGGAUUCAGCGGCGGACGGGUGAGUAAUACCUAGGAAUCUGCCUGGUAGUGGGGGAUAACGUCCGGAAACGGGCGCUAAUACCGCAUACGUCCUGAGGGAGAAAGUGGGGGAUCUUCGGACCUCACGCUAUCAGAUGAGCCUAGGUCGGAUUAGCUAGUUGGUGGGGUAAAGGCCUACCAAGGCGACGAUCCGUAACUGGUCUGAGAGGAUGAUCAGUCACACUGGAACUGAGACACGGUCCAGACUCCUACGGGAGGCAGCAGUGGGGAAUAUUGGACAAUGGGCGAAAGCCUGAUCCAGCCAUGCCGCGUGUGUGAAGAAGGUCUUCGGAUUGUAAAGCACUUUAAGUUGGGAGGAAGGGCAGUAAGUUAAUACCUUGCUGUUUUGACGUUACCAACAGAAUAAGCACCGGCUAACUUCGUG